rnacentral:rRNA from 1 species
AGUGAACGCUGGCGGUAGGCCUAACACAUGCAAGUCGAACGGCAGCACAGUAAGAGCUUGCUCUUGCGGGUGGCGAGUGGCGGACGGGUGAGGAAUACAUCGGAAUCUACUUUUUCGUGGGGGAUAACGUAGGGAAACUUACGCUAAUACCGCAUACGACCUACGGGUGAAAGCAGGGGAUCUUCGGACCUUGCGCGAUUGAAUGAGCCGAUGUCGGAUUAGCUAGUUGGCGGGGUAAAGGCCCACCAAGGCGACGAUCCGUAGCUGGUCUGAGAGGAUGAUCAGCCACACUGGAACUGAGACACGGUCCAGACUCCUACGGGAGGCAGCAGUGGGGAAUAUUGGACAAUGGGCGCAAGCCUGAUCCAGCCAUACCGCGUGGGUGAAGAAGGCCUUCGGGAUGUAAAGCCCUUUUGUUGGGAAAGAAAAGCAGCAGGUUAAUACCCCGCUGUUCUGACGGUACCCAAAGAAUAAGCACCGGCUAACUUCGUG